GUGCCAGCCGCCGCGGUAAUACGGAGGGUGCAAGCGUUGUCCGGAAUCACUGGGUGUAAAGGGUGUGCAGGCGGGGCAACAAGUCGGAGGUGAAAGCCCAUGGCUCAACCAUGGGGUGCCUUCGAAACUGUUGCUCUUGAGUCCCGGAGAGGUUGUCGGAAUUCGUGGUGUAGCGGUGAAAUGCGUAGAUAUCACGAGGAACACCAGAGGCGAAAGCGGACAACUGGACGUGUACUGACGCUCAGGCACGAAAGCGUGGGGAGCAAACAGGAUUAGAAACCCGAGUAGUCC
rnacentral:rRNA from 1 species